GACGAACGCUGGCGGCGUGCCUAAUACAUGCAAGUAGAACGCUGAGGUUUGGUGUUUACACUAGACUGAUGAGUUGCGAACGGGUGAGUAACGCGUAGGUAACCUGCCUCAUAGCGGGGGAUAACUAUUGGAAACGAUAGCUAAUACCGCAUAAGAGUAAUUAACACAUGUUGGUUAUUUAAAAGGAGCAAUUGCUUCACUGUGAGAUGGACCUGCGUUGUAUUAGCUAGUUGGUGAGGUAAAGGCUCACCAAGGCGACGAUACAUAGCCGACCUGAGAGGGUGAUCGGCCACACUGGGACUGAGACACGGCCCAGACUCCUACGGGAGGCAGCAGUAGGGAAUCUUCGGCAAUGGACGGAAGUCUGACCGAGCAACGCCGCGUGAGUGAAGAAGGUUUUCGGAUCGUAAAGCUCUGUUGUUAGAGAAGAACGUUGGUAGGAGUGGAAAAUCUACCAAGUGACGGUAACUAACCAGAAAGGGACGGCUAACUACGUGCCAGCAGCCGCGGUAAUACGUAGGUCCCGAGCGUUGUCCGGAUUUAUUGGGCGUAAAGCGAGCGCAGGCGGUUAGAUAAGUCUGAAGUUAAAGGCUGUGGCUUAACCAUAGUACGCUUUGGAAACUGUUUAACUUGAGUGCAAGAGGGGAGAGUGGAAUUCCAUGUGUAGCGGUGAAAUGCGUAGAUAUAUGGAGGAACACCGGUGGCGAAAGCGGCUCUCUGGCUUGUAACUGACGCUGAGGCUCGAAAGCGUGGGGAGCAAACAGG
rnacentral:rRNA from 1 species